UACGUAGGGGGCAAGCGUUGUCCGGAUUUAUUGGGCGUAAAGAGCUCGUAGGCGGUCUGUCACGUCGGAUGUGAAAACUCGGGGCUCAACCCCGAGCCUGCAUUCGAUACGGGCAGACUUGAGUUCGGCAGGGGAGACUGGAAUUCCUGGUGUAGCGGUGAAAUGCGCAGAUAUCAGGAGGAACACCGAUGGCGAAGGCAGGUCUCUGGGCAUUAACUGACGCUGAGGAGCGAAAGCAUGGGGAGCGAACAGG
rnacentral:rRNA from 1 species